AGAUUGAACGCUGGCGGCAGGCCUAACACAUGCAAGUCGAGCGGCAGCACGGGUACUUGUAUCUGGUGGCGAGCGGCGGACGGGUGAGUAAUGCCUAGGAAUCUGCCUGGUAGUGGGGGAUAACGCUCGGAAACGGACGCUAAUACCGCAUACGUCCUACGGGAGAAAGCGAGGGGACCUUCGGGCCUUGCGCUAUCAGAUGAGCCUAGGUCGGAUUAGCUAGUUGGUAGGGUAAUGGCUCACCAAGGCGACGAUCCGUAAUGGUCUGAGAGAUGAUCAGUCACACUGGAACUGAGACACGGUCCAGACCUCCUACGGGAGGCAAGCAGGUGGGGAAUAGUUGGACAAGUGGGACGAAAGCC
rnacentral:rRNA from 1 species